rnacentral:lncRNA from 1 species
UCUUUGAUACACAGAAGUUUGAAUGUCAUCUAUCUAGGGAGCAGCUGGAUAGCAAAGCCUCAAGCCCAUGGAAAACAUUUAUAAACCUCCAUGACAAGCCAUCUCCACAAACCCCGAAAUAGAACUGGUGACAAAUCCCCAACAGCUACAAGACCUGCAUGGUAGUAACAUCUGUGUGAAAAGAAGACAGAAGUAAUGGGGCAGUGUCAAUGAAGGAUCUGAGAAGAGAGAAUUCCAAAGAGCUGACAAUAGUUCACCGGCAAGCACAGUGGACAUCUUUGGAAACAGCUGAUGAAACUGGGAGGGGCUUUGUUCAGCCCAGUGUUGGGUGACUGCGAGGAGUGCCUGGUAGACUAUGAAGGGGCUGGCAUUGUCCAGACCCUGUGAACUUUGAAAAGGACCUGCACAGGUUUGUUUCUAGGGCAGAGUCCCACAUUGAGGAGAGAUUGCCAGGAGUGGAGGCAAAAUUGAGCCGGGCGGGGGCAACAUGGAUGAAGAAAGAGAGGGCCAGGUAAAAGUAGGGCAAUGAGAAUAGAGCCGGGACAUUUUAAGGGACUAUUUUAUUUUUAAAUAAUGCAUAAAACCAUGGACUAUGGGGCAGUUUGAACUUAUACAGUUUAUCAUGAACGAUGUUUCCUUCUAAAAAUUCAGGAAAACAAAAUUCACAUAAAAUUAGUAUAGGAAAAGAUCACAGUCAAAUGUCAUUUAAAGUUAUUAUUCAAAAACAUAAAGAAAAUGUGAUACACAUACGCCAUGGAAUACAAUGUAACCAUAAAAAGGAAUUAAAUCAUGUUGUUUGCAGCAAUGUGGAUGCAGCUGGAGGCCAUUAUCCUAAGGGAAUUAAUGCAGAAACAGAAAACCAAGUAUUGCGUGUUCUUACUUAUAAGUGGAAACUAAACAUUGGGUACG